rnacentral:SRP_RNA from 2 species
GCUGGGCGUGGUGGUGCAUGCCUGUAAUCCCAGCUACUUGGGAGGCUGAGUCAGGAGAAUCACUUGCACCCGGGAGGCGGAGGUGGCAGUGAGCCGAGGUUGUGCCACUGCACUCCAGCCUGGGUGACAGAGCAAGACCCUGUCUCAA